rnacentral:rRNA from 1 species
CUGGCGGCGUGCCUAAUACAUGCAAGUCGAACGGUCUUUCUAUGGAAGCUUGCUUCCACUGAGAAGAUAGUGGCGAACGGGUGAGUAACACGUGGGUAACCUGCCCAUAAGAGGGGGAUAACAUCCGGAAACGGGUGCUAAUACCGCAUAGUUUUCUUGAUCGCAUGAUUGAGAAAGGAAAGACGGCCUUUGUGCUGUCGCUUAUGGAUGGACCCGCGGCGUAUUAGUUAGUUGGUGAGGUAACGGCUCACCAAGACGAUGAUACGUAGCCGACCUGAGAGGGUGAUCGGCCACAUUGGGACUGAGACACGGCCCAAACUCCUACGGGAGGCAGCAGUAGGGAAUCUUCCGCAAUGGACGAAAGUCUGACGGAGCAACGCCGCGUGAGUGAAAGAAGGUUUUCGGAUCGUAAAACUCUGUUGUCAGAGAAGAACAAGUUGGAGAGUAACUGCUCCAGCCUUGACGGUAUCUGACCAGAAAGCCACGGCUAACUACGUGCCAGCCGCCGC